rnacentral:ribozyme from 1 species
GCGUCAGGAACUUGCAUUAGGAAUAUUGUUGGUCGAUAUCCGACGUGUUCCAACAGAAGACGACAAGGCAGUGUUAGCUGCUUUAUUUGAUAUGGGCGUCCCUAUUAU